CCGCUGUGUGUUCAUUGAGGCUGGGGGCUCAACCACACGUGUACUUCCAGACCCUCACAAACACAUGGCAAAAAUGCAUUAUCUUAAAUCUUUUUUUUUUUUUUUUUUUUGCUGACAUGUCAAUGAACACAUUUUUCCUCAAACACGGGACAGGCCAAGAGCAUCUGGCUCCACUGACACACGAUCUUCAGAACUGGACCAGAUCAGCUGUAGUGCUCUCUCAAUGGUAGAAGCCUGAGGAUGGUUGAAAGGAAAGGAUGUACCACAGCAGUCUGUCAUCAGUGCAACUUCCAGCAAUCUUUGUAGUUAACAGACCGCAGUGGAUUUUUUUUCUCCUCAUGAAUUUACCUAAUCACUUUCUAAAUCCUGUUUCAUGCAAUACUGUGAGAAUAAUCAUCUAAUUUUGGUCUCUAAGACAAGAAAUACAAAAACAAUAGGAGGCCCAGGAAAGAAUGAAAUUUUGCCAACAGAUAUUACAAAAACAGGCAACAAUUACAGCAUAUUGACAAAGAAAAUUACUAAAACCACUCAUUAUAAAAAUAACCCAGCAUUUCCUGCUGUGAUAAUGAAUUUGUUAUUUAGACCACAUCACUGUUUUUGAAAAAUCAUCACCUGUAAUUGCUUUUCUAAGCUUGUGACAAGGGCAUUUCUCUUUUGGUGUCAUGAUGUCAAAUUAAAAGUGUGCCUUUUCAACUGGUAACACUGUCUAGGGUUAAAUAACAAAUCUUUCCAAACUCUUUACUCAAAGAUUCUUGUAUCAGUUAUGAAUGAGAAGAAAAAAAGACAAAUGUUUCUAGGAUGUCACCAGUCUUUGCCUAGCAGUGAGAAAUUCACUGUGAAGUUAUGCUUCCUGUUCUCUACUACAAAACCAACUUUUAUGUAUUUUGCAAUCCUCGUCCACUAUUCCUGCUGUAAUCUCUUGCAAAAUGUUGAAAAUUUAAAGCUCUACACUCACAUGUUUAUUGCCCUACAAUCUGAUUUACCAAAUAAAAGAAUAUGCCCAGGA